UAUACUGAAGGGAAGACUCAUGCUGUAUGCUUCUGAUUCAUGUUGAAAGUGUGUAACCUGUUUGCCGCAAUUUUUCCUUUUCACAUAAUAGGAAAAGGUCAGUAACAAAAAAAGGAAGCUCACUGAGCACGUCAAUACAGAUUACCUGACGAAAGCCCAGGCGAUGAAUAGGAUAAUCAAGUUGAGAUCCCACCGAGGACGUAUAAUGGCUGAAUGAACUUCUGAUCCACGCUUUGGCAAUCCCGUGCCUCCAGGUGUGUAGGUUCAAAAGAUAAAUGGAUGAUUAUAUGGGCGCGUGGCAAAUAUACUGAUGAUGAUGAUGAUGAUGAUGAUGAUGAUGAUGAUGAUGCUGGAUGCUUUCAAUUUUAGUUCAGUUGUAGGAAUGAUGUUCCUCUAUUAAGUUUAAGUGAUGUUGAGGGAUACUUUCGGUUUUUGUUUUGUUGUCAAGAAAAUAUAUAGAUUAUGCAUCACAUUUGGAUGAUGUUCCUCCUGUAAUAUCCAUUGUUGUAAUCCAACAAUUAUAUAUAUAUAUAGAUUUCUUCCUCC